rnacentral:rRNA from 1 species
GAACGAGAAAGUGGAGCAAUCCAUGAGUACAGUGGCGUACGGGUGAGUAACACGUGACUAACCUACCCUCGAGUGGGGAAUAACUUCGGGAAACCGAGGCUAAUACCGCAUAACAUCUACGGAUCAAAUGCGUAAGCAGCUUGAGGAGGGGGUCGCGGCUGAUUAGCUAGUUGGCGGGGUAACGGCCCACCAAGGCAAUGAUCAGUAGCCGGCCUGAGAGGGCGCACGGCCACACUGGAUGAGAAACACGGUCCAGACUCCUACGGGAGCACAUGGGAUUNNAUUUUGCGCAAUGGGGGAAACCCUGACGCAGCAACGCCGCGUGGAGGAUGAAGCCCCUUGGGGUGUAAACCUCUUUCGAACUCGGACGAUAAUGACGGUACGAGUGGAAGAANGCACGGCUAACUCUGUG